GGAGGAGUCGGAUAGUGGUUUAUUCCAGCGGUCUUGAAAACCGCCAUGCCGCAAGGCAUCGUGAGUUCGAAUCUCACCUCCUCCG
rnacentral:tRNA from 1 species